rnacentral:rRNA from 1 species
CAACAGGGAUUGCCCUAGUAACGGCGAGUGAAGCGGCAACAGCUCAAAUUUGAAAUCUGGCGCAAGCCCGAGUUGUAAUUUGUAGAGGAUGCUUCUAGGUAGCGACCGGUCUAAGUUCCUUGGAACAGGACGUCAUAGAGGGUGAGAAUCCCGUAUGUGACCGGCCCGCACCUUCUACGUAGCUCCUUCGAAGAGUCGAGUUGUUUGGGAAUGCAGCUCUAAAUGGGAGGUAAAUUUCUUCUAAAGCUAAAUACCGGCCAGAGACCGAUAGCGCACAAGUAGAGUGAUCGAAAGAUGAAAAGCACUUUGGAAAGAGAGUUAAAAAGCACGUGAAAUUGUUGAAAGGGAAGCGCUUACAACCAGACUUCUGGGCGGUGUUCCGCCGGUCUUUUGACCGGUCUACUCUCCGUCCCGAGGCCAACAUCAUCUGGGACCGCUGGAUAAGACCUUAGGAAUGUAGCUUCCCUCGGGAAGUGUUAUAGCCUCUGGUGAUGCAGCGCGUCUCGGGUGAGGUCCGCGCUUCGGCAAGGAUGUUGGCGUAAUGGUUGUCAGCGGCCCGUCUUGAAACACGGACCAAGGAGUCUAACAUCUAUGCGAGUGUUCGGGUGUCAAACCCCUACGCGUAAUGAAAGUGAACGGAGGUGGGAAGCGCAAGCUGCACCAUCGACCGAUCCUGAUGUCCUCGGAUGGAUUUGAGUAAGAGCAUAGCUGUUGGGACCCGAAAGAUGGUGAACUAUGCCUGAAUAGGGUGAAGCCAGAGGAAACUCUGGUGGAGGCUCGCAGCGGUUCUGACGUGCAAAUCGAUCGUCAAAUUUGGGUAUAGGGGCGAAAGACUAAUCGAACC